rnacentral:rRNA from 1 species
UACAGAGGGGGCAAGCGUUGCUCGGAAUUACUGGGCGUAAAGGGCGCGUAGGCGGCCUGCUAAGUCGGGCGUGAAAUCCCUGGGCUCAACCCAGGAACUGCGUCCGAUACUGGUUGGCUUGAAUCCGGGAGAGGGAUGUGGAAUUCCAGGUGUAGCGGUGAAAUGCGUAGAUAUCUGGAGGAACACCGGUGGCGAAGGCGACAUCCUGGACCGGCAUUGACGCUGAGGCGCGAAAGCCAGGGGAGCAAACGGG